AGGGUGCUGCAUGGCUGUCGUCAGCUCGUGUCGUGAGAUGUUGGGUUAAGUCCCGCAACGAGCGCAACCCUUGUCUUUAGUUGCCAUCAUUAAGUUGGGCACUCUAAAGAGACUGCCGGUGUCAAACCGGAGGAAGGUGGGGAUGACGUCAAGUCCUCAUGGCCUUUAUGACCAGGGCUACACACGUACUACAAUGGCAGGUACAAAGGGCAGCCACUUAGCGAUAAGGAGCGAAUCCCGUAAAACCUGUCUCAGUCCGGAUUGGAGUCUGCAACUCGACUCCAUGAAGUUGGAAUCGCUAGUAAUCGCAGAUCAGCACGCUGCGGUGAAUACGUUCCCGGGCCUU
rnacentral:rRNA from 1 species